AGAGUUUGAUUCUGGCUCAGAACGAACGCUGGCGGCGUGGAUAAGACAUGCAAGUCGAACGCUGGCUGCGGGGUAGCAAUAUUCUGCAGCUGGAGUGGCGAAAGGGUGCGUAACACGUGGGUAAUCUGCCGUGAAGUCUGGAAUAACUUGCUGAAAGGCGAGCUAAUACCGGAUGUGAACAUCGGGAGGCAUCUUUCGGUGUUCAAAGUUGGGGACCGUAAGGCCUGACGCUUCACGAUGAGCCCGCGGCCUAUCAGCUAGUUGGUGAGGUAACGGCUCACCAAGGCUUAGACGGGUAGCUGGUCUGAGAGGACGACCAGCCACACUGGAACUGAGACACGGUCCAGACACCUACGGGUGGCAGCAGUCGAGAAUUUUUCACAAUGGGGGAAACCCUGAUGGAGCGACGCCGCGUGGGGGAUGAAUGGCUUCGGCCCGUAAACCCCUGUCAUUCGCGAACAAAUCCUGCGGCCGAAUACGUUGCAGGUUGAUAGUAGCGAAAGAGGAAGGGACGGCUAACUCUGUGCCAGCAGCCGCGGUAAUACAGAGGUCCCAAGCGUUGUUCGGAUUCACUGGGCGUAAAGGGUGCGUAGGCGGUCGGGUAAGUCUGAUGUGAAAUCUCCGAGCUCAACUCGGAAACUGCAUUGGAUACUAUCCGGCUCGAGGACUGGAGGGGGGACUGGAAUUCUCGGUGUAGCAGUGAAAUGCGUAGAUAUCGAGAGGAACACCAGUGGCGAAGGCGAGUCCCUGGACAGUUCCUGACGCUGAGGCACGAAAGCUAGGGGAGCAAACAGGAUUAGAUACCCUGGUAGUCCUAGCC
rnacentral:rRNA from 1 species